rnacentral:rRNA from 1 species
UACGAAGGGGGCUAGCGUUGCUCGGAAUCACUGGGCGUAAAGGGUGCGUAGGCGGGUUUUUAAGUCAGGGGUGAAAUCCCAGAGCUCAACUCUGGAACUGCCUUUGAUACUGGAAGUCUUGAGUAUGGAAGAGGUUGGUGGAACUGCGAGUGUAGAGGUGAAAUUCGUAGAUAUUCGCAAGAACACCAGUGGCGAAGGCGGCCAACUGGUCCAUUACUGACGCUGAGGUGCGAAAGCGUGGGGAGCAAACAGG